rnacentral:lncRNA from 1 species
GAGGCCGCGCGGAGCCGCGUAGGGAUACGCCGGCGGGAGCACGCGGUGCCGCAGCCCUUCCCUGCGCCCCCGCCACCCCCUCCACCCCGCCGGCUCCGCUCCACCGAAAUUCCCCUCCUAGGGCCAAUAGCUCACAUUUCCGGCUUCCUCCUCAUUGUACUGGGUCAUUUUCGUUUAAGCGUCAAUAUUUGUCCUUAGUGAUUAAAGUUUGUAUCCAAUUUUAUUUUUGAAAGCGGGGGUGGUGGUGGUAGUGGGAAGAGUGGGAGUGCAGGGAGAGGAUGCGAGAGGGCAGGAAAUGGAGGAGGUAGAGGCGAGGCACUACUUUUCCGAGUCGGCCUUGCAGGCCAGUGUCUGGCAUUUCUGAGCCAGCAGGAAAAUUGUGCCCUUUGUAGGUAAUAGUCUAGCGCAGCUUUGGAUAAGGGGGGAGAUAAGGCCCACCGCUGGCGUGUGUGCGGGGGUGUCCUUUACUUCGGGGGAGGAGGGUGUGGGAGAGCUUUGGGAGCGAUGAGAUGAGGAGGAGGAAGUGGGCAGAGGAGCGCGGGGCCAAACAGGGGUUACUUACUCGAUUCCUGAGGCCUGGGCGGCGGCGAGCUCCGGGCUCCGGCACCGCGGGGAAACCGGGACUGGGGCUCCGGGUGCUGCUGCGGCGGCCGGGGCCGCUCAGUAGUGGGCGCCUCUGAUGGCCUUCCGAAAUGAGAGGUGCCCAGAGAGAAAACAGUACCAAACAAUCUCGAAAUAAAUCAGGUAACACAUGCUAUAUACGUGUGUCUCUUCCUUUUCCUUCUCUCCUGCUCCAGAGCGUCGCUCACGCGCGGGGUGACUCGAUGUCGUUUUCUCCUCGCCGCUCCAGCCUCAGCUUCUAAUCCGAAUUGGAAGCGGGUAGCUGCGAGCGAUCACCCUGGAAAUAUUUUCGUUUUGCUUGUUGACAUUGGAGGGAAAAUAAGGGUGGGCGUCUAUUUCUUUCCGGUUUUUUUUUUAAGCCUUCCUAUUUUCACUCCUUUUUUUUCCUUUCCGUUUCUCAAAUGCUUUUAUUUUGUGCGGGCCUCAUUCCUGAAAUAACAGUAUACUGAAGCCAGCUCUUGCCAACCCUGAGUGCUGCUGGAAAGCACCGGGGAGCCUUGGGAACGUGGAUCUCACAGUCCCAGCUUCUUGGGCUUUGGAACUGGGAAGGUUCGGUUGGAGGUUGAAGUGAAUGGGGAAAUUGCGAAUCGGGGGCUUUAAAAGGAUCCCGUGGCCAGGGGCAGGGCUAAGGCCCAGCAUUUCCCAGGGAUUGGAAUUUAGUGGGGAGCACAUUGAUCAAAGGCUGUUUCAUCCCACAUGGGCACGAAACAUACCACAUUUUACGGAGGAUGUAGCCCCAGAGAAGAGGGAGGUGGAGAAGCAUAAAUGAAAGGCACCUUUUCCUUCCUCUAGAAGGUAAAUAAUUAUAAAAUGUAAGCAUUUCUUCACUUGGAUAAACUUUCAUUAAGAUAUCUGGCAGAUUUGGUAUUUAAGAAAACGAAGGAAGGAAAAUUGGUGCUUAUGCUUGAUCCUAAAGUUAAAUUGUAACAUAAAGAAUGCGGUUGAUGAAUACUCAGGAUAAUAGGGGGUUAUUCCAUCCUCCCCACCCCCAGUCUUAAGAAAGAGAAAGAGAGAAAAGGUUGGGGGGGGGGGAGGAAACUGGAGAGAAUAAUAGAUAAUUACAAAUAGCUAGUGAAUUUUAAAUAUGCAUCUAUUAGGAAUGCCACAAAGGAGCUUUGAAUAUUGGACUAACCUCAAAUGUCCUUCCACUGUAUGUAUGUAUCUUUACCUAUGUCUACAUAUCUUCUCACUUUAAAACAAACUGUAUUUACAUGUGGAAAAAUUCAAGGGUUCCAACAAUCAGUGUUGAUAGUGACAUGGUCCCAAACAUUUAUUUCCAAGCUCUGGAUUUCUCGCAGGGCCGGGUGAGCUAAUGGGCUUUGCCUACCGGCUGGAGAGAUUUGUGGGCCUUCCCCUUCCUACUCACUUUUCCUCCUCCCACUCUUCUCCCCUCUUCAGGCCCGUUCUUCCUACUUUUCCUCAACUCUCCUUCCUCCCUCCUCCCUCCUUCUCCCUUAGCUCCCCCCGCCCCUUCCCCCCACCCUCCAUUCCUCUGUCUCUCCAUUCCUCCACCUACUCCUCCCAAUUUCUCCUCUUACAGCCCCCCUUCUCACCACCACUUAUAAUGGCACACAGGGCUCCCUCUGAGGUGGACGGCCCGGUACGUUUUCGUAGUCGGUCUAGCGUGAAAUGAUUCGGUGUAACCGGAUUCUUGGGAAAGGACAGGUUACGUAAACAUUUACUGAUGUGGAGUAACUAUACUAUUUGUACUCUGAUAUGCAGGAAGGAAAGUGUUGAUUAACACAGAAGAAAAAAAAAACGAAAUUAGCUGAUUGCAUGCUCAUAAGUGCAAGCUGUCAUUGAACUGCUUUUAAAAUAGACACAGCUGGGUGUUUGUGUUGAAAAAUUUCUUGUGUUUUUGCUAAUACUGAAAUAAGCAUGAUUUUGUAUACCAAACAUUUUCAGAUCAUUAAAAUUUGUAAUCUGUGCUGGUUUUAAACACAAAGAAAAGAAACAGAAUCAUUUCGAUGUAAAAUUUGCUGAUAUUAUAUUAACUCAAUCAGGUCUGUACAAAUUGUGCAUUGUGCCUCCUAAAAUCUGUUUGAUCAAUUUAAUACACAAAGUGCCAAACGUGGGUAUUGUUUGUUAACAUUGGACAUUUUAUUCAAAUCCGAGCUCAGCAGCAAACUGGAGGAGCUUUCCUUCAAUACAACACCAGCUCUGACUGAUGAAUUUUUAAUGUUUUAAGGUGUUUCUUAGGUCAAAUCUGAGCGUGCAUUGUUUUGUAAUCCUGUAUAAAAUUUUAGCAGGUGGAAAUAAGUUUUUCUUCUGUUUACUUUCAAAUAGCAAAAACUGGGGUUUGCUAAUGAGCACUGUAAUAAUCUGAUUUUAUAUGCUAGGAGCUCAUAUUGACUGGGAAAAUGUUUUUCAUUCAAAUUAAGGCUAUGUUAUAUAGUUUAAGGAUUGCAUGAAUGCAAGUCUCUCAAAAUAGGAUAUUCUUAUGGGCAUAAAUAGUAUAUAGUUUAAUGUAAUAUUUAAAAAUCUAUUCUUCCUAAUGACAAAAGUUAUUUGUAAUCUGGCAAGAAGUGAGUUUUAAUUCCUUUUAAUAAUUUCAAUUGCACUUUAUGUCGAGAUGGUGAUAUAUAUAUAUACUCACACACAUAUAUAUGUGUGUGUGUGUAUAUAUGUAUAUAUAUAUAGCUUGUUCAACAAAACAUGCACUGUUUACUCAGCACCCCGUGUUUGUCUCAGCAAUAGCUUUUUUAAAGAACUGCUACUAUUUGAAAUGGAGGGGGAGGGGGGUCCUGGACAGAGUAUUGUGCAAGUUGAAAGUCUCUGGAUGGGGCUUUGUAUAUCCUACCAGCCAAUUUGGGUGCAAAUUGGAUUUGAAGGCCUGCCUCUGUCCACCUCGGGCCUCUUCCCUAAGCACUGGAAGCCCAAUCUUCAGCCCCACUCAGUCACCGUGAUUACCUUCAGAAGACAGAGGGAAUUCAGUUGUCUCAGACCUGAAACAAAUUCUCUAUCAUUCUAAUUUUUUUCUCAUGAUGGAUCUAACCUUGAUCUCUCACACAGACAUCUACAAAUGUGUACUAUUAAUGAAUAAAAGCAGAAGUCAAAGUAAAUGUAAUUUUCUGGUAUAUAUCACAGUAAACUUCUCUCUUGCUCUGUCUGCAGUCCCCCAGCUCUCCCAAAGAGGUCAGGCCCCGUAAAGAGUGAGCAGUUCCAAUGGAAGAAUUGGUUAGGAAAUGAAUUAGAUUAUUCCUUCUGGAGUUUUAAUUAAUAACCAAGGCUACACAGCAUACUUCAUCCGAGUAGGGAGCAGAACAUUUCAUUUUUCCAUUUGGCGGUGUUAUUUAAGUAUUCUUUAGGGCCUCUUUCCUGUUUUCAGUCAGUGAUCCGCCUCUUUUCUUCUUGCUAGCUGCUGGUUAAAGGAAGGUGGGCCCCAUUUACCUAAAAUCCACUCUGCUCUCCAUUCCCUGGACAGGGUGUCCUUGGAGUGGCACCCAGCGCCAAGCUCUAGCUAAAGUUCUCUUCCUGCAGAUGCACAGAGAAUUUCUGACCUUGUGACGUUUGGGAGUGAGGAGAUCCCAUACAGAGGCAUCCAGGUAUUUCCAGAGAUCCUGUGGCAGGUGAGGUCUGCCCUCGCUGGAGCCAACUCGUCUAUAAUAUCUUCCUAACAGCAGAACCUGGGUCUCACUCUGUCCCCUAGGCUGGAAUGCAGUGGUGUGAUCAUGGCCCACUGCAGCCUUGAACUCCUGGACCCAAGCAAUCCUCCCAUCUCAGCCUCCCAAGUAGCUGGAACUACAGGUACGGGAAAACUGGCUUAGAGAUGUUAAAUAUCCUGGAUUAUUGUCAGUUUAACAAAAUAAUUUCGGCUAUCAAAGAUCAAGUGGGAUAAAUUUCAGAGGAAGAAACUGAGCUCCUUGCAUACCAUAGAGGAGAGGUCGAGGUCCUUCCACUGAAGCACCAAGUGGGGUAUAUAAAGCCACACUGCCCAUGAGGGCUGUGGUGUGAGUCUGCUAGCCGUGAGAGACAGAUGCAUUACAAAGGGAUGGAUUUAGUGCACUCUUUCCUCUCUUACUCACAGCCUGAACAGCCAGUGAACAAUGAAACAAAACUUCUUCCCAAGCCUCAAUGAGGAUUGUGCCAUAGUUUGAAGAUGAAGUCUUGCUCUGUUGCCCAGUCUGGAGUGCAGUGGUACGAUCAUAACUCACUGAAGUCUCAAACUUCUGGGCUCAACCAAUCCUCCCGCUUAACCUCCCAAGUAGCUGGGACGACAGGUGCAUGCCACUACGCAUUGCUAUUAAAAAAAAAAUUGUAGAGAUGGGGUCUUACUAUGUUGCCCAGGCUAGUCUUGAACUCCUGGCCUCAAGCAAUUUUUCCAUCUUGGCCUCUGAAACGCUGGGAUUACAGGUGUGAGACACCACAAGGCCUGAUUUUUUUUUUUUUUUUUUUUUUUUUUACUGGAAAUUGGAUUACAAUCCUUCUGAGUACAAUAUAAAAUACAUUGCUUGUUGUUGAAUAAUUUUAGGAAUGGAGUAGCAUCAUAUGGAGCUUCCAACAUUCUUAUUUUGAUUUUGUAGUUUUUUAAUAAACACAGAAGACUUAACUGUUUUGAAUGAAUUUACCCAUUGCAAGCAAUUAACAUCCAAUCACUUUACUUAAAAUAAUCAAACCAUUUGUGUAUAUAUAUACAGGAUAUAUUUCUACUGUUUACUGUCUCAAAGCAUUUUAACAAGCUAUUGUGCUGGCAGAGUUAAUUAGAUCUGAAAACUGGUAUAAUAAAAACAAUAAAAAACUGUAAGAAUGCAUUAAAAUAGAACACCAAAAUAAUAGAACCUAAGGUUUCUAAAGUUGUAUUUGACAAGUCAAAUGUUCCUUAAUAACUGGAUGCAUCAGAAUACAUUGUUCAUUAUAAUAUUAAAGGCAUGUAAUGAAAUGAAAAUUGAAGCAAUAGAGAAUUCAGUAUGCACAAUUAUUUUAAAUUUAAAAUCUUACCCAUAAUGAACAUAGCUAAAAACAUAAAAGACAAAUGAUAGAGAAAUUAAAAGCAAUUAUCAAAGGAAUUCUCAGCAGAAAUUUCUGAUUUAAAUUAAAGCCUAUGAUUAAAAAUCUCCUGCCUCUUUGUCCCUCUCGCCUCUUCCCACAAUUCCUUACUGCCUCAGCACCUUGUAACUUACAUUUCUUUUCUUUAAAGACAAUCAUACUAUGCUUGAUCUAUGUGGCAGGAAUGAACAUAUCAACUUCACUUUUCAUCAACUUCACAUCUUUCUGGAUCCUGUCUCUGUAAGCCCUAAUGCUUAACUUGUGAAAGAACAAAGAUGGAAAUACUAUUGAGUAAGGUCCAUGAAAAGUGGAAUUAUUUUUCACCUACAUAAAUGUUAAUUUUGUAAAUAAAAAAGAAGACCAUUUCAGAUUUUUUUAAAAUUGAGGCUUGAAAUGGAGUACAGUGUAUUUUGGUGGCCAGGCCUGGAUUGUGAUUAUCUAGGUACCCUAAGUAGCAAAAAGAUUAUGGUCCCUCAUCCCCAGAUAAUAAAUGUGAUGCAUUUAUUUAUUCAAUCAAAAUCUGUUUUUGAAUAUUUGCUCAGGCACUCUUCUAGGCACUGAAGACACAAUAGUUAACAAAAUGACUUUUCUUAUUAUUUUCACAUUCCAAUUAUUUAAAUCAGUACUAAUGAUAAAAGAAACAUGUGGCAAUUCAAAAAAAAAGUCGCAUUUCAGUUGAUAAAUCCUUUUUGCUUUUUUGGGAAAUAUCAAAUUAUUUUAAAAAAUUUCUGCUCUUCUUUUUGCUUCUACAUUGUGCAUGUACUUAAAUUUCAUAUUGGCUAUUAAACACUGACACCACUUCUUUUCCAAGUAUUUUUUGUUCAUUUUUCAGAUGCCACUGGUAAUUAGUUAUUUUUCUUUUAUAGUAAAAAAGCUAGUAUAUUUGUUUACCCUUUUUGAAGAAAUUGUAACUUCAUAAGCUCUAAACUGAACAACUUGAACAAAAAACUAGGGAAACUUGAUGUGGUUUUAAAAGUUAAAACCAUUAAUUGUGUUUUACUGGAGGAUGCUGCCAAUUAAUUUUGUCUGAGAUUCUUUAUUCUUAUGUUUAUAUAAUACAGUGCGUACUUUAGAGGGACAUAUCCCAGAUUUUUUUCAAUGUAAUAUCUGAUACAUACAAAAGAAUAUAUGUAAUAUAUGGUCAAAUUAUUAACCAUAACAACAAAACAAACAACAAGAAUGCAGCAUAUUAGCCUAAACACUACAUCAUUAACAAUAUUUUUAUUUGAAUUAUUUAAAGAAAAAAUAACCUUUUUUGUCGGAGACAUUUUUCCAGGUUAUACGACCCACCCCCAAAUUUUUUUUUCUUUCUUUCUUUUCUUUUUCUUUCUUUUCUUUUCUUUUCUUUUUUUUUUUUUUUUCUGAGACAGGAUCUCACUCUGUUGCCCAGGCUGGAGUGCACUUGCAUGAUCGUAUCUCACUGCAACUUUGACCUCCCUGGCUCAAAUGAUCAUCCCACCUCAGCCUCCCAAGUAGCUGGGACUACAGUAGGGUGCACUAUGCCUGGCUAAUGUUUUAAAAUUUUUGCAAAAUUUCUGGCUGUGUUGCCUCCUUAUAUUUUAUCUGAUGUCUAUACAAUAUUAGACUAGGCUAGAGUGUUGCCUUAAGGAAUAUUUCAUUUUCUACUUUUUAAAAUGCUAAAAGUAAGAUUUAUUCUGAAAUAAGUCUGAGUGUAUAGAAAAGUUGCAAGACCAGUAUAAGUGACGUUUUAUCUAAACCACUUAAAGUGAAUUAUCAAUGCUAUGCCCCAUCAUUCCCAAAUACUUCAUUCUGUAAUCCUUACAAAGACAUUCUUCUACCAACACAGUAAUGAAAAAAUUUUAAAAAACCAUUGAAACAUUACUAUCAUCUAAUUUGUAGUUCCAAUUUUUUUUGCCAAUGUCAGUGACAAAAAGUUCAAUGACAGAUUGUAUAUUUCAUUUAACUGUCACUUUAAAAAAUUAAAUAGUUUUGUUUUUAGAGUAGUUUUAGCUUCACAGCAAAAUUGAACAUAAUGUACAGAAUUCUCAAGUACCUUCAUCCUCCCCCGAUAAUCUCCUGUGCUACAACUGUUGAGAUCCUGCAACACAGUGAUGCGUUUGUUAUAAUCGAUAAACCUGCACUGAUACUCAAAGUCCGUAGUUCAUCUUAAAGUUCACUCUUGGUACUGUGAAAUCUACGAUAUUUGACAAAUGUAUAAUGACAUGUGUCCCCCUUUGUAGUAUACAGAAUAGCUUCACCACCCACAAAAAUCUGUUCUCCAUCUAUUCCUCCUCCCCUCCCACCUAACCUCUGGCACCCACUGAUCUUUUUACUGUCUCCACAGUUUUGGCUUGUCCAGAAUGUUACUUAGUUUGAAUUACAUAGUAAGUAGCCAUUUCAUAAUGGCUUUUUUCCCCCUUAGUAAUAUGUAUUUAAGUAUCCUCCAUGUCUUUUCAUGGUUUGAUAGCUCAUUUCUUUUUAGUGUUGAAUAAUAUUCCAUUGUCUGCAUGCACUCUAGUUUAUAUAUUGAUUCACUCGCUAAAGGACAUCUUGAUUGCCUCCUAGUUUUGUCAAUUAUGAAUGAAGUGGCUGUAAUCUGUGUUCAAGAUUUUGUGUAUACAUGCAUUUCCAACUCAUUUGGAUAGACACAAAGGAGUGCACUUGCUGAAUCAUAUGGUAAGAGUAUGUUUAAUUUUGUGAGAAAUUGCCAAGCUGUCUUACAAAGUGGCUGCAUGAUUUCACAUUCCCACCAGCAACAAAUGAGAAUUCCUGUAGCGCUUUGUUCUCACCAACAUUUGUGUUGUUGGUAUUUUGGAUUUUCACCAUUCCAAUAGAUGUGUAGUGGUAUCUCAGUGGUGUUUUAAUUUGCAAUUCCCUAAUAAUGUAUCAUUUCAUAUGAUUAUUUUCCAUCUAUAUCUUCUUUGUUGAGGUGUCUGUUCAGGUCUUUUGCCCAUUUUUUAAAAUUAGGUUUUUUGCUUUCUUACUAUUGAGCUUUGGGUAACCGUCCUUUACCAAAUAAGUCUUCUGCAAAUAUUUUCUCCCAGUCUGUGGCUUGUCAUCUCACUCUGCUGACUUUGUCUUCUGCACAACAGAUUCUUUUAAUUUUAAUGAGGUGCAGUUUAUUUAUUAUUUUCUUCAUAAAAUCACACUUUUGAUUUUGUAUCUAAAAAAUCAUCACCACCCCCAAAGUCAUCUGGAUUUUCUUCUGUAUUUUCUUCUAGGGUUUUAUAGUUUUGCAUUUUACAGUUUAGGUCUGUGAUCCAUUUGGAAUUAAUUUUUGUAAAGAGUAUAAUGUCUGUGUUUAGAUUUAUUUGUUUUUAACAUGUGAAUGUCCAGUUUGUGCCCAUACCAUUUGUUUUAAACCUAUAUUUUUUUUAUUGUAUUACCUUUGCCUCUUUGUCAAAGAUCAGUUGACUGUAUUUGUAUGGGCCUAUUUCUGGGCUUUCUAUUCUAUUCUCUUGGUCUGUUUGUCUCUUUUUUUUUUCUAAUACCAUACUGUCUGGAUCACAAUAACUGUACAGUAAGUCUGGAAGUUAGGUAGUGUUAAUCCUCCAGUUUUGUUUCUUUUUUUCUAUAUUGUGUUGGCUCUUCUGGAGCCUUUGUUUCUCCAUAUAAACCUUAGAAUCACUUUGUUGAUAUUCACGAAAUACCUUUCUGGGAUUUCAAUUAAAACUGCAUUUAAUGUACAGAUAAUUUUGAGAACUGGCAUCUUGACAAUAUUGAUGCUUCUAUUCAUAAACAUGCAACAUCUCUCCAUUUAUUUAGUUCUCCUUUGAUUUCUUUCAUCAGAGAUUUAUAGUUUCCCUUUAUAUAGAUGUUGUACAAACUUUGUUGGAUUUACCAAAGAAUUUCAUUUUUUGGUGCUAAUAUAAAUGAUAUUGCAAUUCUAAUUUCCAAUUCCAUUUGUUCAUUGCUGGUAUCAUAUGUUAUUUUUUAAUCUUCUUCAAACUCAGUCUCUCAGUCUUCCCUAGACUUUCAUAACUUCUACAUUUUGAAAAUUUUAUGUCAAUUAUUUAAUAGAAUAUCUCUAAAUUUAGGUUUGUCUCAUUUUUCAAUGUAAUUGGAUUCAGGUUACGCAUUUUUGAUAGAUUAGAGUGGUGCUGUGUUAUUCUUAUUGCACAGGUCUGUUGGGUUGAGUGGGGUGAGUUAAAUCAUUCCUUUUUGGCCUCUCAUAAUACUGAAUCAAGUGAAAGUUGGCCUGAGUCAUCAGAAGACUUGUCUCGGCUGAAUGUACAAGGUGCUCACUGACAUAUACAGAUCCAAAGUUGAGUCGGACUGGUCUGACUGUUGGCUGAAAGCUCACCUGGGGCUGCCAGAGGUCUUCAACCAUAGCGUCUCCACGUAACUUAAGCUUCUUAUAUCAUGUGCCUAAAUUCUGAGACAGAGGAAUAGAGAAGAGAGAAAGGAAGAGCAAGAGAGAGAAGGGGAGUUCCGAGUGUCCAUUCCAAGAAACUGAGGUGGAAACUGCAAGGCUUCUUAUACCAGAGCAUUACUUUUUGUACCAGAACAUUACUUCCAGUGUAUUCUAUCUGUAAAGCAAGUUAUAUUUAGUUCACAUCUUGAUGUGAGAAAUAGCAUUGUGUACAGGGAAAAAGAACUUGAUAGCUAUUUUUGUAGACUAUCUGAUAAAGAUGUUUCUGGGCUGAGUUAAUAAUGCUAUGUUGGCUAUUUAUUUCUGAUUUUCUAGUUCUGUCAUUUCUUCUACAUUUAUUAGUUAGUCUUUGUGUCAGUUGGGGUUCCCUAGGGAAACAGAACCAAUAGGAUAUAUCUAUAUCUUUACCUAUGUCCCAUACAGAUACACACACACACACACACACACACACACACAUCCAAUCCACACACACAUGUACAUUCAAUCUGUUGAUAGCCUGACUAGAACAAUAGGCAAAGGCAAGGGGAAAUUCGUAUCUCUACCUGACUGCUUCAGCUGAAAUAUCAAUCAGUCUCUUCCUGCCCUACACUGGGACCAACAUCAUGAGCCCUCUGGUUCCCAGAACUGUAACACUAGCUUUCCUCUUUCCGGGGUCUCCAGCUUUCAGACAGUAGAAUCAUGAGACUUCUCAGCCUCCUUAACCAUGUGAGCCAAUGCCUUAUAACAAAUAUCCUACAAACAUAUAUAUAUAAAUGUAUACAUACAAAUAUAAUAAUAUCAUACAAAUAUAUAUAUUUAUAUGUAUA